AGCUCUGGUGGCAGAGGUGCUGCUAAGAACCUACACCUUGAACUGAAGCUCCUGAGAAUGUGAGCCCGUCAAAAGCACGAAGCCCACGCUUUUUCACAGUGCCCAUCCAAAAUCGUGGUUUCCAUGAAAAUCGUGCAUUCACAAUUUCGAUACCUUCUUGAUUGAUGAAAGCUAUCCAACUGGCUUUGAAGGAAAAGAGCUAACAUUUCUGAACAACUCACUGGACCCAGACAAGACAUUUAACAUUAUACAAAUGUAAAC